rnacentral:rRNA from 1 species
GCAGCCGCCACGGGAAUACGGAGGGUGCAAGCGUUAAUCGGAAUUACUGGGCGUAAAGCGUACGCAGGCGGUCUGUCAAGUCAGAUGUGAAAUCCCCGGGCUUAACCUGGGAACUGCAUUUGAAACUGGCAGGCUAGAGUCUUGUAGAGGGGGGUAGAAUUCCAGGUGUAGCGGUGAAAUGCGUAGAGAUCUGGAGGAAUACCGGUGGCGAAGGCGGCCCCCUGGACAAAGACUGACGCUCAGGUGCGAAAGCGUGGGGAGCAAACAGGAUUAGAUACCCCUGUAGUCCCUGUCUCUUAUAA